CUAGGCUUCUUCCGCCCAAGAUGGUGGCCCAGCAGCAGCUCAGUCCAAGCUGGUGAAGCAAACUCCUCUGUCCACUCUGGUCCUGUGUCCACAAGGAGCCAACUCCCUGAGGAAUUCAUGAGCAGCCCCACCAAUGUGCUUGCUGACAGGUACUCUGUGUCCUCCUGGCAUCCUGGGGCCCUGCUGCAGGAAGAGGCCCCUCUAAUGCCAAGGUCAUGACUCUAUAUCCUUCCUCUCCUGGAUAGAGGGACCCUGGCCAUGCUGGUCAGUGCAGGGGCAGGCACUGUACCCUCAUUUUUCCUCCUCAUCCAGAGCUCAGCCUUGAGCAGCCCAUCUUAGGCUCAGGGAAUCUCUGAUGAUACACCCUUUAAACAUCUGCUCCAGCUCAGGUGAGGAAAAGACCCUCUU
rnacentral:lncRNA from 1 species